CUGCAGCCAAUUAAGCUAACGAUGUUCUUUUUUUUCCAUGGGGCCUUGUGUGUAUUGCCUGCAAACGGCAGUCCCCUUGGUCAUGUUUGCAUCCUGUAGCUUGUAUUGGUUGCCCUCAGGAGAGCUGGAAACAACC